GAUGAACGCUGGCGGCGUGCCUAAUACAUGCAAGUCGAGCGAACGGACGAGAAUCUUGCUUCUCUUAUGUUAGCGGCGGACGGGUGAUUAACACGUGGAUAACCUACCUAUAAGACUGGGAUAACUUCGGGAAACCGUAGCUAAUACCGGAUAUUAUUUUGAACCGCAGGGUUCAACAGUGAAACACGGUCUUGCUGUCCCUUAUAAGUGUAUCCGCGCUGCAUUAGCUAGUGGGUAAGGUAACGGCUUACCAAGGCAACGAUGCAUAGCCGACCUGCGAGGGUGAUCGGCCACACGGGAACUGAGACACGGUCCAGACGCCUACGGGAGGCAGCAGUAGGGAAUAUUCCGCAAUGGGCGAAAGCCUGACGGAGCAACGCCGCGUGAGUGAUGAAGGUCUUCGGAUCGUAAAGCUCUGUUAUUAGGGAAGAACAGAUGUGUAAGUAACUGUGCACAUCUUGACGGUACCUAAUCAGAAAGCCACGGCUAACUACGUG
rnacentral:rRNA from 1 species